GUUUUCUUAGUACAAACAGUACAGACGGCUUCCAACCACCAGGCCCUGGUUUAACCCCAGGAGAAAAUA
rnacentral:tRNA from 1 species